CCCAACCAAAAACUUAAGAAUGAUAAUGUCAUAGAGUGACGUAGAACUGAACAAAAUAAAUGAAAUUUUGUUUUCAGGGAAUAAUGAGGAAAACAAAGAGGAAGAAGAAGAAGAAGAAGAAGAAGAAGAAGAAGAAGAAGAAGAAGAAGAAGAGGAGGAGGAAGAUAAGGAGGAAGAGGACCACCAGCAGAAAGAAGUGUUGGAAGAUGUGGCCCCACAUCAGCCUAAAAACCUGGAUCUACAGAAGAGCAGCCAACCUGACGAGAUGAAAUCCAUCCAUGAUGUAAACACAGCAGAAUUCUUGAGAAAGAAGUCAUAGUUGGGAAAGUUGUUCAGAAAUCUGAGCUGCACACGUACGAAACCAAAG
rnacentral:lncRNA from 1 species